rnacentral:rRNA from 1 species
GACGAACGCUGGCGGCGUGCUUAACACAUGCAAGUCGAACGGAAAGGCCUGCUUUCCCUUGUGGAUUGCGGGUACUCGAGUGGCGAACGGGUGAGUAACACGUGAGUGAUCUGCCCCCAACUUGGGUAUAAGCCUGGGAAACUGGGUCUAAUUCCCGAUAGGACUGCAGGGUGGUGCCUGUGGUGGAAAACGAUUUUCUAGUGGUUGGGGAUGAGCUCGCGGCCUAUCAGCUUGUUGGUGGGGUAAUGGCCUACCAAGGCGGCAACGGGUAGCCGGCCUGGGAGGGUGGACGGCCACAUUGGGACUGAGAUACGGCCCAGACUCCUACGGGAGGCAGCAGUGGGGAAUAUUGCACAAUGGGCGGAAGCCUGAUGCAGCGACGCCGCGUGGGGGAUGACGGCCUUCGGGUUGUAAACUCCUUUCGACCGCGAGGAAGCCACCUGGUUGGAAGGGUGGUGACGGUAGUGGUAGAAGAAGCACCGGCUAACUACGUG